ACUUGCGGUUAAAAUAUGAAGUGUUUAUUCUGAGUUGAAAAGACCGUACUUAUAUCUAGUAUUCUUAAUGUAAUUUAAAUAAUGUCUUCCUUUACUAACUGCAUGUGACUUUGUUCUACUUAUAUUGUUUAAUACGUACUGAUGAAUUCAGCAGCGAAUUGGCUAAUGCUGCUAAUGCUUUUUACAUUUUUUUUUCACAAUGAACAGUCUUCUUUGUGUAGUUUUCAUUAUAUUGCACUCUUAUUUUUCAUUAUGUACAUGCCUGCAAUUCGCAGCUCGCUGUUUUUGUUGUUGUAUGGUAUUGUUGUUUUGCCUUCAUUUGUUUUGUCUGGUCCUUUGUAGUUUGAAUGUUGUCACAUGAUCCAAAUAGGACAAGCUGCAAGAUCACCACCCCAUUGGGAAGAAACUAAAUCACGACCCCCAAAUGGUAGUCUUCCCAUGCAGAUACAGGGAUGUCACACAGAUCCAAAUGGAAACAGGACCAAUGGUGACAAUAUAAGACCAUGCCGAGCUUCAUGGACGGUUCAAACUCAUCCUGCCCAGGAACGGCUGAAAACGUUGACAGCAAUCAACAGGGGGACAUGGAAAGAGAGGAUUGGAAGUGAAAUAGAGGGUUUUUCGGGACAGCCAUAGGGGAAGGACUGUGGCAUCUUCAUGUUGAUGACUGAUAUGCCAACUCUGAGGAAGUGGUGGUGUAUAUUGCUAGCGGACAAUUUCAAACUUGGGUGCAUGGUGAGCCACAGGAAAGAGUUUGCCCAUUGGACAGACAAGGCAAAAGCAUUACUGCAGGGUGAAGUGCCACCAGUCUAUCAGCUACAGAAGUGAAAUUUGAAUAUAAUUGCUGAGGAAGAGGUGCAACCACAACUCCUUCAAGUUAGUGGUGGCCCACUCCAAAAAGAUACGGCGGGAAAAAAUGUUUUGGUAAAAGGAUUGUGCCAGACAGCACAAAAGCCUCGGACAGGGCUGGG